GACGAACGCUGGCGGCGUGCUUAACACAUGCAAGUCGAACGGAAAGGCCCUGCUUUUGUGGGGUGCUCGAGUGGCGAACGGGUGAGUAACACGUGAGUAACCUGCCCUUGACUUUGGGAUAACUUCAGGAAACUGGGGCUAAUACCGGAUAGGAGCUCCUGCUGCAUGGUGGGGGUUGGAAAGUUUCGGCGGUUGGGGAUGGACUCGCGGCUUAUCAGCUUGUUGGUGGGGUAGUGGCUUACCAAGGCUUUGACGGGUAGCCGGCCUGAGCGGGUGACCGGCCACAUUGGGACUGAGAUACGGACCAGACUCGUACGGGAGGCAGCAGUGGGGAAUAUUGCACAAUGGGCGGAAGCCUGAGGCAGCAACGCCGCGUGCGGGAUGACGGCCUUCGGGUUGUAAACCGCUUUCGCCUGUGACGAAGCGGGAGUGACGGUAAUGGGUAAAGAAGCACCGGCUAACUACGUG
rnacentral:rRNA from 1 species